rnacentral:rRNA from 1 species
AUUGAACGCUGGCGGCAGGCUUAACACAUGCAAGUCGAGCGGAGAUGAGGUGCUUGCACCUUAUCUUAGCGGCGGACGGGUGAGUAAUGCUUAGGAAUCUGCCUAUUAGUGGGGGACAACAUUCCGAAAGGAAUGCUAAUACCGCAUACGCCCUACGGGGGAAAGCAGGGGAUCUUCGGACCUUGCGCUAAUAGAUGAGCCUAAGUCGGAUUAGCUAGUUGGUGGGGUAAAGGCCUACCAAGGCGACGAUCGGUAGCGGGUCUGAGAGGAUGACACCCCACACUGGGACUGAGAAACGGCCCAGACUCCUACGGGAGGCAGCAGUGGGGAAUAUUGGACAAUGGGCGGAAGCCUGAUCCAGCCAUGCCGCGUGUGUGAAGAAGGCCUUUUGGUUGUAAAGCACUUUAAGCGAGGAGGAGGCUACCUGGAUUAAUACUCUAGGAUAGUGGACGUUACUCGCAGAAUAAGCACCGGCUAACUCUGUGCCAGCCGCCGCCGUAAAAC